rnacentral:lncRNA from 1 species
GAGAGGGAAGUGUUAACUCUCAGGGGAGCCAUAAGCCCUGCCCAAGAGUAAAGAGGACGCCUCCCCUCCUCCUCCAGGUUCCUCCUUCCGAUACUUCCCCCGGAAGCCUCUGCAAAGCCCAGUUUCCAGAACACCGGCACUGUCCCACGUAAGGCUCACCAUGCAGAGUGGAUGGAUACAGAGAGCUUCCUUCCGUCUUAUAGAUUGUGCACCUGUUUAGCGCGGCCCCAAGACUAGGGCUGUGCAUGUCACACACACGAAGACACUGGUGGACUGGGCUUUCUGAGCAGAAGUUGAAACAAAGCACAAAGGAAGUGGUCCCCAGUCGGACCAGGUCUGGUGGUGGUACAUCUGACUAGGAGGAGAGAACAGAGAAGGAAGCUGCUCUGAGGGAGGACCAGAAGAGUAGGCACUAUGAGUCCUUGGCCCUUGCGUGCAGGCUGAAAUCAUCACUGAACGGAAACAACAAACAGUAAAGAGAUGCUAGCUGCCACGCCGCAGAGAGAGACGUAGAAGAUGCCCACCCGAGCAGGAAUCUCUGGCAGCCUUCGGGUGGAUCAGGCACAGACAGUGUUCACUCACUUCUAAUGAGCUUCAUGAUACCCAGGCAGAGUCUUCAACGCAUGUUGAUCACCAGCUAUGAGUCAAAUCAAUGGCAAAGACUCCCUCAGAGCCUUGCUCUAAUGACACAAUCCUUAGCGUCUGGAUGAAUCCUCCAUCUCCUCUAGGCUUCUCCUACUCAGGCUCCCUAGUUUGCAGAAAGAUGUGGGACCUAAGGGCGGCAGGAGGGACCUUUCUUUACACCGUUACUGAUAAAGGAUAAAUAACCCUCGGUUCCUUAAAC